rnacentral:rRNA from 1 species
GACGAACGCUGGCGGCGUGCUUAACACAUGCAAGUCGAACGGAAAGGCCCUGCUUUUGUGGGGUGCUCGAGUGGCGAACGGGUGAGUAACACGUGAGUAACCUGCCCUUGACUUUGGGAUAACUUCAGGAAACUGGGGCUAAUACCGGAUAGGAGCUCCUGCUGCAUGGUGGGGGUUGGAAAGUUUCGGCGGUUGGGGAUGGACUCGCGGCUUAUCAGCUUGUUGGUGGGGUAGUGGCUUACCAAGGCUUUGACGGGUAGCCGGCCUGAGAGGGUGACCGGCCACAUUGGGCCUGAGAUACGGCCCAGACGCCUACGGGAGGCAGCAGUGGGGUAUAUUGCACAAUGGGCGGAAGCCUGAUGCAGCAACGCCGCGUGCGGGAUGACGGCCUUCGGGUUGUAAACCGCUUUCGCCUGUGACGAAGCGUGAGUGACGGUAAUGGGUAAAGAAGCACCGGCUAACUACGUG